UCCUGCAGCCAAACUACCGAUUUGCUGGGAGCUCACCAGCAAACCAGGGUUGGUGCUGGUCAGUACGUGGCUAGGGGACCUCAAAGGAAAAGCCAAGUGUGGCAGGAA
rnacentral:rRNA from 1 species